ensembl:lncRNA
UGCGAAUCGGAGAGGGCUUUGGCUGAACGCCCUUCGUGAUGACGUCACACAGCCCAAAUCUGUGGAACAUCUGCGAACAUUCAGCAGAACAGGAGCUGGAAUCACAACCCUUCAUAUUUUUCAACAGUUCACUUUGCAUUUGAGACACAUUUGGAUGGAAACCUAUAUUACGAGUGUGAUCGUUGUGGAUAGAGUGUGUGUGUGUGUGUGAGUGAAUAGGCUGUGUGCCAGAAAUCAGAGUAUUUCCAGACAUGAGGAACUCUUGGAAGAUGAACAAGGACUCUCCAUAAAACCUAAUGAUUGUGUGGUUUGUCCAUUUGCUGUUCUCAAAGAUCCCAAGAGGAAGUCAUAUCGUCAUUUCUUUUAAAUGUGUAUAUUAGCGCUUAUCUAAAAACUAAUAACAAAUUAUGUUUCUCCAAGAUAAUUCCAUAAUCUUUCAGUAAUAUACAAUAUGCAGUCUAAAACAGAGACAUGAACAGUCUGGUCAGAGAGACACAGCAGAGAGAGAGAGAGAGUGAGAGAGAGAGAGUGAAAGAGACAGAUAGAGAGAGACAGAGAGUGAGUGUGAGAGACAGAGAGUGAGAGAGAGAGAGUUAGUGAGAGAGAGACAGAGAGUGUGAGAGAGAGACAGAGAGUGAGAGAGAGAGGCAGAGAGUGAAUGAGAGAGAGCGAGAGAGACAGAGAGUGAGAGAGAGAUUGAGUGAGAGAGAGCGAGAGAGACAGAGAGUGAGAGAGAGAUUGAGUGAGAGAGAGCGAGAGAGACAGAGAGUGAGUGAGAGAGAUUGAGUGAGAGAGAGCGAGAGAGACAGAGAGUGAGAGAGAGAGAUUGAGUGAGAGAGAGCGAGAGAGACAGAGAGUGUGAGAGAGAGAGUUAGUGAGAGAGAGUGAAAGAGACAGAUAGAGAGAGAGCGAGAGAGACAGAGAGUGAGUGAGAGAGAGUUAGUGAGAGAGAGUGAAAGAGACAGAUAGAGAGAGAGCGAGAGAGACAGAGAGUGUGAGAGAGAGAGUUAGUGAGAGAGAGUGAAAGAGACAGAUAGAGAGAGAGCGAGAGACAGAGAGACAGAGAGUGAGUGUGAGAUAGAGCAAGAGAGUGAGUGAGAGAGAGAGAGACAGAGAGUGAGAGUGAGUGAGAGAGAGAGCAAGAGAGACAGAGUGAGAAAGCGAGAGAGAGAGAGAGAGAGAGAGA